ACCACCCGUCCAGUGCAAAGCCUGCAAAAACUGAACAUGAGAAAGAUUCACAACUCAUUCUCAACGUUGCCAUCCAAAGUCUUCGACCUCACGAAGAAGGGCAGAUCCCUUUGCACACAAAAAGAAAAGCACAAAUAGCACUGAAAUUCCUAGAAACAAGGUUCCCUCUUGUAUUUGUUGCUGUUGUUUGCUUUGUUUUAAGGUUGUGAGCAGAUGGCUUGGCUACAUCAGUAACAAAAGACAUCAGAGCUGACUAGGAAAAAGAGCUGGGGAGGCAAGAGGGGAGGGAGGCUGAGCUAACAGCCCCCACGCCACAUCUCUCUAGGGCACUAUUUCUGCAAAUAUAGUCUCUCUCCCACCCGCGCUGAGCCACCUGGAGAAGAGGCUGUAAACAGAGAGCUUUCUGGACCGCAUCCCAGAGAGAACAUCUGGACCACGAAUCUUGUUCCACUUGUGCUUUGAACCAAGUUCCUCAAAUGAUUUCUUAUGGAUAAACAUGACCUGCGAAAUGAGAGGUGCUACUGCACAACCUACGCACCCCACCCUCCACUCCACUCUCCUGCUUGGAUUCUACUUGUCAUGGUCUCUCAGGGAUCCAGCUUGAAGAGAUUCAUCUCCACACUUGCUUAGGUUGGUGUUCUUAUGGGAUUCCUAACAUUGAGAGCUGAGAAUGUCUUUGACUCUUUUUUCUGCUCUUGGGACCCCUUUCCUUCUACUGGGUUGCCUCAACACUCUUGAUAUGAGGUAAGUGCCUAGUCUUAUUGCAACUUGAUAUGUUGUGUUUGGUUGAUAUCCCUGGAGGCUUGCCCUAUUUUGAAGGGAAAUAGAGAAGGAGUGGAUCUCAGGGAGAAGAGAGGUUGGGGGAAGGGUCUGGGAGGAAAGGAGGGAGUGGAAACUGUAGCUAGGAUAUAAUAUAUGAAAGAAGAAUAUAAAAAAGUUUCAAGGGCAUGUGGGUCUGGGUCAGGCACUCAGGUCCAAUCUGGCUUCUCUCUAAUCCUGUCCUCACUGUGAUUACUUUGAGGAGGUGGGGGAAAGUCAUGUAAGAAAGAAGGUAGAGGCUAGAGAGAUGGCUCUACAGUUAGGAACAUAGCCACACAUCCAAGCACGAUAUUCAUACCAUAACAAUAAAAACAAUUAAAAAAAAAGAGUUAAUUUAAAGUGAAACUUGAACUAAGUAUGUGUUUUCUGAGUUCUACACAGUAGUGCGUUACCAGGACUAGCAAUGUAAUUCACGUGGCUCAGCACAAAAUGAAGAUGGCUGGGCCUUAUGUGGAAACAAGACUUUCAAGAUACCAACAGCAAGGCAUGAA